UUUUGGAUAUAACACAAAACCCCUCUUCAUGCUAUUAACUCUGUCUAAAACUCAACCCCUCGAAAAAACUGUCUAGAACUCUAUUCACUCUCUCAGCAACCAAAGUCUCAACUGAGAUUGCGAUCUCAAUCUCAGCCAUCUCAAUCUUUCAAACUUAAAAAUACUUACCCAAGCCUAGUCUCUCCUUCAACCCCGAGAAUCCUUUCCAUUCGCGUCCGGCUUAAUAGAGUUUUUCAACAACCACUCAAGAGAUUAGAGGAAGCUUGACUAUUCUGUUUUCGAUCGGGUUAGUGGCCGGCCGGUAAGCAUUUUGCUUCAUUAGUUUAGGGCUUCAAUUGGGUCCAAUCUUCGAUUUUAGGGUUUCGAUUGGAUUCAGUCUUCAAUUUUAGGGUUUUGAUUGGGUUCAAUCUUCUAUUUGAGGGUUUUUCUGGAACUUGAUUUGGGUUUUCCUAAAAUUUUCCUUGUAAAUUCGUUUUAGUUGUUAGGUCUUUCUUCAAUUUGUGUUGGGGAUAUUGAAAUAGAUUAAGGUGUUCUGGUUCUGUCUUGUUAGUAAAAUUUGUUGUUUUUGAAUUUAUGGAUUUGUUGCCCUGAUUUAUGAAUUUAGGGAUUCAGACUUGUGCUGUUGCUUCUUAUAGCAUUGCUGUUGGAGGUGAGAAAAGCUUGAAGCUUUAUUGUGAAUUUUGCUGUGUAAGGUUUUAGUUUUCGUAGUAUUUUGUACUGAUAUGUGACAUUAUAAGAGAGUUUGGGUCUUACUUGUUGCUUUGUUGGUCUCUUAGCUUUGGUUCCUCUCAGAAAGGUACGUUAUUAAAUUGUUUGUUACUUUAUGGCUUAAUUGGUGAUUGAUAAGCUUAUUUUUGUGAUUCUAUAACUAUUGGGGCUUAAUUGGUUAUGGGUGUAAUUCUAGGUUAUUCAAUGGGAUUUCUUGUUUGGGCAUAUUAGCUUUAGAUUGGUAUAUUGACUAUAUUCUACAAGCUGUUGGUUCAACUGUAUAUCAUUUGCAAACAGAUUAAUAAAAGAGGCGAUACAGUGGAUGAGAAGAUCAAGAAGCUUGAUUUUGAACUUAAUAGAUACAAAGAGCAUAUCAAGAAGACAAGGCCUGACGCUGCACAUGAAGCUAAUAAGGCGAGAGCGAUGAGGGUUCUUAAGCAAAAACGAAUGUCAGUGCUCCCUCCUGGUUUAAUUCAUAUUCUUUUACAUAAACUGAUGUCAAUUGUGAUUUCAUCGAUGCGACGACAACAUGUGGGAUAAUUUCAAAAUCGAUAACUGAAUUUGGAUAUUUUGGAUAGUCGAUUGUGCCUUUUCUCAUACAUGGGUUGAUAAUGGCUUGAAUCUAGGGUCUGCUGUAACUUGGCCACCAUGUUGAAACUAUAUCUUGCUUUAGUUUUUCCUUCUCCAGUGUGUUAUACACAUGACAGCCUAGUAGUAUUCUGUUCUCUGUUUUUAAAACUUAUUUCAACUGCAUUGUUAUACAAAUAAAUUUUUCGUAAAUCCUCAAAGCCAAACUGUUCCUGCCUAAAUGUUACACUUUAAUUUGUGUCAAAUUUAGUCUUUUUCUGAAUUUCUCUUGCUUGAGAACCCCUUAAGUCACACACCCGGGUUUGGGGUGUGACACAGAGUUCGUUUGUCAAGCUGAAAUCUUACUGAGUUUCCCUUGAUACGAUGUUCCUUUGGAAUCUUAAUUCCUUCUGAUGGUAAAUAUAUGAAUGCAUGUUUAGCAACUUGUUCAAGGCAACAAGUAUCCUUGUCUUGGAUGUUUUAAUCUUGACACAAACCUAGCCUUUGACUAUCAUUGUUGGAAUUCUUUGAAGUGUGUACAGCAAAUACGUUUCUUUCCUUUUCAAAAUCUCUUCUUAUCAGUUUAAUUGCAGCAAUGAAUCUUUAGAUUUUGAUAUAUCAUCUAAGUGUCCUAUUGAAUAUCUAAUCUAUUUCUACCUUGUUUCAAAAUAGUAUGGCUGCACUUGAGUCUAUUUCUUAUUCCAUUCUUGCUGUCCAUUCGUAUUCAUAGCUCAUUCAUACAAAGUUCUUCAUAUUAGUGCCUUUAUCCAUUUGUAUUCAUACACUUGUGGUCUAUGAUAUUGAAAACAAAUAGCUGCUUUUUGUUAUGUUUUCUACAAGUGAAAACAAAGCUUCUUAAUUGCGAACUUUACCUGAUACAAUAAUUCAAUGCUUUGCAUAUUCUUACUGUUCUGUUUUUCAUAAGGGAAUGGAUAUAUGACAUAACAAGGUUUCUUGCUUUCAAAUAUUUUACUUAUUUGUUUUAUUCACGGUGCCAAACUACCCUAUUCGAAUUAAUUUCAAACUAGCCUUCUUUGGUAUUUCUUUUUCCUGACUUAUUGACCUUCAAAUGAUUUGAAUUUUUGAUAUGUUUUACUUCUCUUAGUUAAUAAACGAUCUGGAAAUUUUCAUUGGAUUUCGACAUAAAGUGAACGUUAUGUGAAUUUUUCAAAUUUGGUCUGUAAUUGAGAAAGUUCCAGAAUUUUAAAUGUUCCUCUGAUUUUCUAUUGAGAUAUGAACUUCUAUUUGAAUUAUUUAACUUCUGGUUUUUCUGUAUAUUGAACUAGACAUCCCAAUGUUUGUUUCAAAACUGAUUCCUUGUCAUUUGGACUUGCAAUGAAUUUUUGUUGAAUUGUUCAAAGCAGACCUACUGGAAGAAGGAUCUUUUGAUUCCUUAGUUGAUGGUAGUGUAGCUGUUUUUCAUACAGCAUCCCCAUUUUAUCACAAUCCCAGUGAUUCACAUGUACAUCCCCUCUCACUUUAAUUGCUUUAAGUUGUUAUGCACUACUUAGUGUGUAUGUAUAACAAAAUGCAACUCUUCUGUAAAAUUCUUCAUAAUGCCUAUUGUUUGGAGUUGUAAAUGAGUUUGGUGUAUUCCACUAGCAGCAUUGGGACGUCCUCUUCAUAAUGCUAUUGUUUGGAUGGUUGGUAGUUGGUACAGCUCUAUUUACAGCUUGAUAAGAGCAAAAAAAGAAGGAAACUGAUAUACAAGGAACAAUGCAAUAUCAGCUUGAUAAGCAUCAGGACACGAGGAGCCAUUAGAGCAAAAAAAGAAAACCACCAUAAUACAUUUAUAUGCUAUUAACUUCUGAACAGUCAUAUGAGUCAUACUUACAUUUAUUAUGUUUCAUGUCUAACUUUUGAAUCAUUUACUUUAUACAGUGCAAGUGUGUUUGGUAUCUCAGCGGAGUCAAUGAAGUUGUCUUCUGUUUGAUAAGGACCAACUGAAGUUUCAGAUGGAGAAGGCCGAGAAGGAUAGAUGUAAAGUUCGGGCCGAAUGGGAAAAGUAUGUUUCUCCAGCUUCAAGAUAACUAGUGUAGAGAUGUGCUUUUGGACAUGCAUCAUCCACAACCCAGAUUAGUAUUAUUGCUCUAGAUAAUAGGUUUCUGCCUUAGGAUUAGUAUAGUUAUGGAUGUAUGUACUUUGGCUGCAAUGACAGAUUGAAUAUUGGCAUUUUUGUGCUUGGAUUCCAAAUUUGAUGAAUAUAUGGUAUUUUUUAGUUUUCAGAUUA